rfam:Haemonchus contortus, ISE/inbred ISE, WGS project CAVP01000000 data, contig: Hcontortus_28208
GGCACAAAUUUGAAGUAGAUUGGAUAUGUAAGGCCAGCUGAUGCUUCUUAUCUACCCCACUUCAAAUUUGUGCCC